rnacentral:lncRNA from 1 species
GUAACAUGAGAUGAAAACUGGAGAAGCAUCCCUAAAAUAUAUGAACCAAUCUGCCUAGAAAUAGCUAGGAAUCUGCCACCAGAAAGAUGAAUAAAAUAAAAGAUUGAAGAAGUAGCAAGUAGCAGUAUGGAAGACUUGUGGCUAAGAAGACACUUCGCACUGUUAUGCACCAGGAGGAUUGACUGUCUCUGUGGCUUGGAGGCAGUUAUACGUAGCAGCAGCAGCAGCAGCAGCAGCAAAAGUUAACAGGAGCCGGAGUCUGUCUUCAAAGAGCAGUCAGUAGAGAUGAAGAGUAGAUUACUGAUUCCAUAGUACAUGUCAGAUACUGCCUAGGGACUUCCUAAGUAGAGGUCAAGGUCCCACUGUUAUACAGGAACCCCGCCUUUUUGUGUAACAGUUGGCCAUAAAGAAAUUAAGACCUUCAUUCCAGAGAGUCCUAUUGCAUGCCUGAGAGGGAGGAAGGCUGCACAGAGACGCCAAGAAGCUGGACAGUCCUUGCUGGGUUUCCCCACUCAGUCUUUAAGCAUUCGAUCAUACCCCUUCUGUCCAGUUGUAUUUUACAUGGCUGUCCAUACAUCAUUGAAUGUCAGUGUAAAAAUGGAUUGUUUUCCCUGUAUCUUUGGGUCUUUAUUCUGAAGUCUCUUUUAAAACUAUGAUCAAAUAAAUUUGUAUGCCUUUUCUCCUA